rnacentral:rRNA from 1 species
UUUGAUCAUGGCUCAGGACGAACGCUGGCGGCGUGCCUAAUACAUGCAAGUCGAGCGGACGAAUCGAAAGCUUGCUUUUGAUUCGUUAGCGGCGGACGGGUGAGUAACACGUGGGCAACCUGCCCUGUAGACGGGGAUAACACCGAGAAAUCGGUGCUAAUACCGGAUAACACGAAAUGUCGCAUGACGUUUCGUUGAAAGACGGCGCAAGCUGUCGCUACAGGAUGGGCCCGCGGCGCAUUAGCUAGUUGGUGAGGUAACGGCUCACCAAGGCGACGAUGCGUAGCCGACCUGAGAGGGUGAUCGGCCACACUGGGACUGAGACACGGCCCAGACUCCUACGGGAGGCAGCAGUAGGGAAUCUUCCGCAAUGGACGAAAGUCUGACGGAGCAACGCCGCGUGAGCGAAGAAGGCCUUUCGGGUCGUAAAGCUCUGUUGUUAGGGAAGAACAAGUAACGCAGUAACUGGCGUUAUCGUGACGGUACCUAACGAGAAAGCCACGGCUAACUACGUGCCAGCAGCCGCGGUAAUACGUAGGUGGCAAGCGUUGUCCGGGAAUUAUUGGGGCGUAAAGCGCGCGCAGGCGGUUCCUUAAGUCUGAUGUGAAAGCCCACGGCUCAACCGUGGAGGGUCAUUGGAAACUGGGGACUUGAGUGCAGAAGAGGAGAGCGGAAUUCCACGUGUAGCGGUGAAAUGCGUAGAGAUGUGGGAGGAACACCAGUGGCGAAGCGGCUCUCUGGUCUGUAACUGACGCUGAGGCGCGAAAGCUGGGGAGCAAACAGGAUUAGAUACCCUGGAA